GGGGGAAUUUUGGACAAUGGGCGCAAGCCUGAUCCAGCCAUGCCGCGUGAGUGAAGAAGGCCUUCGGGUUGUAAAGCUCUUUCGGCGGGGAAGAAAUUGCACUCUCUAAUACAGGGUGUAGAUGACGGUACCCGCAUAAGAAGCACCGGCUAACUACGUGCCAGCAGCCGCGGUAAUACGUAGGGUGCGAGCGUUAAUCGGAAUUACUGGGCGUAAAGCGUGCGCAGGUGGUUGUGUAAGUCAGAUGUGAAAUCCCCGGGCUCAACCUGGGAACUGCAUUUGAGACUGCACGGCUAGAGGAUGGCAGAGGGGGUAGAAUUCCACGUGUAGCAGUGAAAUGCGUAGAGAUGUGGAGGAAUACCGAUGGCGAAGGCAGCCCCCUGGGCUAUUCUGACACUC
rnacentral:rRNA from 1 species